GUGGGGAAUAUUGCACAAUGGGGGAAACCCUGAUGCAGCGACGCCGCGUGAGUGAAGAAGUAUUUCGGUACGUAAAGCUCUAUCAGCAAGGAAGAAAAUGACGGUACUUGACUAAGAAGCCCCGGCUAACUACGUGCCAGCAGCCGCGGUAAUACGUAGGGGGCAAGCGUUAUCCGGAUUUACUGGGUGUAAAGGGAGCGUAGACGGUAUGGUAAGUCAGAUGUGAAAGCCCGGGGCUCAACCCCGGGACUGCAUUUGAAACUAUCAGACUGGAGUGCAGGAGAGGUAAGUGGAAUUCCUAGUGUAGCGGUGAAAUGCGUAGAUAUUAGGAGGAACACCAGUGGCGAAGGCGGCUUACUGGACUGUAACUGACGUUGAGGCUCGAAAGCGUGGAGAGCAAACAGGAUUAGAUACCCCGGUAGUCC
rnacentral:rRNA from 1 species